rnacentral:miRNA from 1 species
AAUUAUUUUUUCAUUUUCAGUU